AGAUAUACGAACAUGGGAGCACUACAAACUACACAGAAUGGAUAUGUUUUUCAAGUUUUCGUCGGUCCGUAUUUGUUGGCUGUCAAGUCGCAUAAAUCUUUCAUUGGAUCCAGGGCUAAGAUGUGUUGAUAAAAUUAGUGAACUUCAAAAAAGGGGAACUAAGUGGAAUGUGUUCAUUUAAACAGCUGCAGACUACAAUUUUUACAGAAAGCUCUAUUUCCAUCACGAUCGAAUAAUAAACUUUAUAUGCCAUCAGGGAUUUCUUCUAGAUGCCGCUAAUUAAAAGUGAAAGAAUCAUCAUUUAACACUAAUUUUUUUGUCUAUUAGGUACAACAUGUCUAAAAAAACGUAGGUUUGUCUGGGUUCAAGCCGAAGAUAUGUGAAAUAUUAUUUUCUCUAAUUUAAUUCCAUUUUUUUUUAAAGUGAAAAUACUUUUUCAAUCUGCCCAAAAAAUCAAAUUUAAUGCCGCAACUUGUUCCAGUCACCUCAAUUGUUCACCAACCGAUUGUCGAGCAUUCUUGACACUUUUCACUUUCCCUCAAGUUGCCGUUAUUCGAUACUGGGGCACUACCAAAAAAAAAGAGACUAAAGCUAAGGAGAA